GGCUUAACACAUGCAAGUCGAGCGGGGGAAAAGUAGCUUGCUACUUAACUUAGCGGCGGACGGGUGAGUAAUACUUAGGAAUCUGCCUAUUAGUGGGGGACAACAUUUCGAAAGGAAUGCUAAUACCGCAUACGUCCUACGGGAGAAAGCAGGGGAUCACUUGUGACCUUGCGCUAAUAGAUGAGCCUAAGUCGGAUUAGCUAGUUGGUGGGGUAAAGGCCUACCAAGGCGACGAUCUGUAGCGGGUCUGAGAGGAUGAUCCGCCACACUGGGACUGAGACACGGCCCAGACUCCUACGGGAGGCAGCAGUGGGGAAUAUUGGACAAUGGGGGGAACCCUGAUCCAGCCAUGCCGCGUGUGUGAAGAAGGCCUUUUGGUUGUAAAGCACUUUAAGCGAGGAGGAGGCUACUCUAGUUAAUACCUAGAGAUAGUGGACGUUACUCGCAGAAUAAGCACCGGCUAACUCUGUGCCAGCAGCCGCGGUAAUACAGAGGGUGCGAGCGUUAAUCGGAUUUACUGGGCGUAAAGCGUGCGUAGGUGGCCAAUUAAGUCAAAUGUGAAAUCCCCGAGCUUAACUUGGGAAUUGCAUUCGAUACUGGUUGGCUAGAGUAUGGGAGAGGAUGGUAGAAUUCCAGGUGUAGCGGUGAAAUGCGUAGAGAUCUGGAGGAAUACCGAUGGCGAAGGCAGCCAUCUGGCCUAAUACUGACACUGAGGUACGAAAGCAUGGGGAGCAAACAGGAUUAGAUACCCUGGUAGUCCAUGCCGUAAACGAUGUCUACUAGCCGUUGGGGUCUUUGAGACUUUAGUGGCGCAGCUAACGCGAUAAAGUAGACCGCCUGGGGAGUACGGUCGCAAGACUAAAACUCAAAUGAAUUGACGG
rnacentral:rRNA from 1 species